UUCAACCAAACCUAGAAUUUUACUAAAAUCCACAAAUUGAAGGAGCAAAUCUGGUCCAAACGAAAAUCCGAGCAUAGAAUCGUGAUCCUCAUCACAAGAGGAUUACAAGGACAAGAUACCGGAACGUCGAGUGGACAAGCCGGUGGUGACUCACGGUUGAAGGGCGUGCGCUAAGGUGAUUAGAUGGAUCGUACGGAUGGUGGUCAAGCGAUGUCGAAGAACCGAACACGAUUUUUGAAGCUUCCGCUAUGUUUUGAACUUAUUAAAUAGUUGUUCUUGGGUUGUAA